AUGGCCCUGGAUUAUCUGCUACUGCUCCUCCUGGCAUCCGCAGUGGCUGCGAUGGAAGAAACGUUAAUGGACACCAGAACGGCUACUGCAGAGCUGGGCUGGACGGCCAAUCCUGCGUCAGGGUGGGAAGAAGUCAGUGGCUACGAUGAAAACCUGAACACCAUCCGCACCUACCAGGUGUGCAAUGUCUUCGAGCCCAACCAGAACAAUUGGCUGCUCACCACCUUCAUCAACCGGCGGGGGGCCCAUCGCAUCUACACAGAGAUGCGCUUCACUGUGAGAGACUGCAGCAGCCUCCCUAAUGUCCCAGGAUCCUGCAAGGAGACCUUCAACUUGUAUUACUAUGAGACUGACUCUGUCAUUGCCACCAAGAAGUCAGCCUUCUGGUCUGAGGCCCCCUACCUCAAAGUAGACACCAUUGCUGCAGAUGAGAGCUUCUCCCAGGUGGACUUUGGGGGAAGGCUGAUGAAGCUUGCCCUGCAGGGACAUUCAAGGCCAGCCAGGAAGCUGAAGGCUGCUCCCACUGCCCCUCCAACAGCCGCUCCCCUGCAGAGGCAUCUCCCAUCUGCACCUGUCGGACCGGUUAUUACCGAGCGGACUUUGACCCUCCAGAAGUGGCAUGCACUAGCGUCCCAUCAGGUCCCCGCAAUGUUAUCUCCAUCGUCAAUGAGACGUCCAUCAUUCUGGAGUGGCACCCUCCAAGGGAGACAGGUGGGCGGGAUGAUGUGA
rnacentral:sRNA from 1 species